AUUGUCUAACGGUCUCUUCUGUUUUCUUUGUUUGACGUCAUCCUUGAGUUUAACAGAUUUUUACACCAAGCAUGACCCCAUAAAUUGGGUUGAGAACUGGCAUCAAGACAAAAGGGUAUCUCGAAAUAAUAUUUGCUCUAGUAGCCUUAACAAUAGAGACCUGAGUCCAAUUUUGCAUCGCGUAACAUUUCAGCCAAGCUGCGGAACAGGAAACAUUAUGCUGAUUUCAAAGAAGCGAUAAGACGGAAGCCGCUUUCCUCUGGAAAUAUUUCAUCAUUGUUGGUUGGCUUUCAUUGUUCUCUUCUUUGUGAUGCCACUCUUUGUCUGGUGCAGGCUUCUUUCGCAAUGUCGGUCAUUGAGUAGUAUUCCUUUGUCUUCAUGCUAAUAAGAGCCUCUAGCGUCUCCCAGUGGACCUAAUAAACUUAUCUGCACAGGAAUAACAAAUCAACUACACGCAACAACGAAGUCUUCUCAAAGCAAAUGGAUUCAAACACUCAAGUUUUAGUUGGAUUUAAUCACAUUCUUGAUCGUUGAGAACACAAGAUGACCAGAAACUUCACCAGAUAGAGGAAGAAUAACAGCAGGACAACACAUUUGGAUGACGAAACGUUAUGAUGCUUUAGUUCUCUGAAAGACAUGCGUGCUUCUUGUCACCAGUUGUUCCUGCCAUGCUCUGAGCCAGCGGUCUAUUACACCAUAGUCUUGUACCACAUGUGCAAGCUGGACUCACGUUAAGUUGUUCCUGCUACGAUGUGAAUGAAGCCAACUUUGUCCGCCAGGAUUUGAACUCGCCACCUCUCGCACCAUAGCCUUGCACACCACCAACUGUGCAAGCUCGACAGCGAUGGCAAUCUCCGCAAAAUUCGAGUAUUCAUU